rnacentral:rRNA from 1 species
GAUGAACGCUGGCGGCGUGCCUAAUACAUGCAAGUCGAGCGAAUGGAUUAAGAGCUUGCUCUUAUGAAGUUAGCGGCGGACGGGUGAGUAACACGUGGGUAACCUGCCCAUAAGACUGGGAUAACUCCGGGAAACCGGGGCUAAUACCGGAUAACAUUUUGAACCGCAUGGUUCGAAAUUGAAAGGCGGCUUCGGCUGGCACUUAUGGAUGGACCCGCGUCGCAGUAGCUAGUUGGUGAGGUAACGGCUCACCAAGGCAACGAUGCGUAGCCGACCUGAGAGGGUGAUCGGCCACACUGGGACUGAGACACGGCCCAGACUCCUACGGGAGGCAGCAGUAGGGAAUCUUCCGCAAUGGACGAAAGUCUGACGGAGCAACGCCGCGUGAGUGAUGAAGGCUUUCGGGUCGUAAAACUCUGUUGUUAGGGAAGAACAAGUGCUAGUUGAAUAAGCUGGCACCUUGACGGUACCUAACCAGAAAGCCACGGCUAACUGCGUGCCAGCCGCCGCGGUAA